AUCCGAGCCAGGGGCUCUGCCUCGAAGCCAAGGACAACUAACUGCGAAACCACCCACCCAGUUCCAAGCAGGCAGUGUAGGGACAACGUUUGUAGUCUGCCAGCUUGGGGCAAAGUUUGUAGUCUGCCAGCUUACCCUGUCAUAAAAGCAGCUUUGUCAAGGAUGAGCAAGGCACCCCAUGGGGAUGGGGGUACAGGGAAAUAAUAGACGAGUAGGGAGGCUCUGAACCCGAGGCCCCACAAACUGUACCCUGGUUAGCAGCUCAUCCAACCAUAGGAAAGGGGAGCUUGGCUAGGGCUGCCUCCGAGGGUCCCACGCAGCCUCAGAAUCAUAGCUGCUGCUCCCUUAACUUUAUAUGACAGGCUGUGUGCCAAGCACUUCACUUAUGUUAAUUGAUAAUUUUUACUUAUGACUGAAAGGAAUAAAGUCAGAUUUUUGUUUGUUUGUUUUUGGUUUUGUUUUUUUUUUGAGAUGGAGUCUUGCUCUGUUGCCCAGGCUGGAAUGCAGUGGCGUGAUCAUGGUUCACUGCAGCCUCAACCUCCCAGGCUGAAGCAAUCCUCCCACCUCAGCCUCCCAAAUAGCUGGGACCACAAGCAUGCACCAUCACACCCAGCUAAUUAAAUUUUUUUUUUUUUCCCAAACGAAAAUAAAACUUUCAUUUGCCAAGGGAACACCACAGCAG
rnacentral:lncRNA from 1 species